rnacentral:rRNA from 1 species
UACAGAGGGUGCGAGCGUUGAUCGGAAUUACUGGGCGUAAAGCGCACGUAGGCGGCUUGGUAUGUCGGGUGUGAAAUCCCCGGGCUCAACCUGGGAACUGCAUCCGAAACUGCCUUGCUCGAGUAUGGGAGAGGGAAGUGGAAUUUCCGGUGUAGCGGUGAAAUGCGUAGAUAUCGGAAGGAACAUCAGUGGCGAGGCGACUUCCUGGACCAAUACUGACGCUCAGGUGCGAAAGCGUGGGGAGCAAACAGG